rnacentral:lncRNA from 1 species
UCCAGGAAAUAUUAAAACAGAAGGCUGAAAGUUUUGCUGCACUUCCUUAUCUGAAAGGCUAGUUAAAAAGAGAGAAACCAAAGUCAAUAAUUUUCUAUGCCAUAAAGGAGGUUGAAGCAACAGAAAACAAAACAGAUGCGAUUCUUCACUGCAAGGAUGAAAGCCGAGUCAGAAAAACCAUAGCCAGGACAAAAAUUUCCUCUAAGUAUUAUAGGCAGCAGCAGAAGUGAGAUG